CUUUCUUCACAAUCCCUAAGCCAUCUUUAACCACACUCGGCCAUCUCCUUAAUGUGUGUAGUGUCACCCUAGACUUUUUCACAUCCUGAUUCUUCUUGUAACUGUUUGACCAGGCCCCAACCCUAGAGUCAUGGCUUCCUGAGCAAAAACUACCAGCAACUUGGGUUAACAACAAGUUGAUCAACAGCUACGCCUUGGAAGUUGGAGACAGUGAAUUACUCCUGAGAGAUUUACAGUUCUAAGAACCUGUGCUUGUGAUUAUGGCUCUAACAAUAUCAACUCUUAAACCCGAAUGUCAACUAAAGAAGCCCAG